rnacentral:rRNA from 1 species
UACAGAGGUCUCAAGCGUUGUUCGGAUUCAUUGGGCGUAAAGGGUGCGUAGGUGGCGCUGUAAGUCGGGUGUGAAAUUUCGGAGCUUAACUCCGAAACUGCAUUCGAUACUGCGGUGCUUGAGGACUGGAGAGGAGACUGGAAUUCAUGGUGUAGCAGUGAAAUGCGUAGAGAUCAUGAGGAAGACCAGUGGCGAAGGCGGGUCUCUGGACAGUUCCUGACGCUGAGGCACGAAGGCCAGGGGGAGCAAACGGG